rnacentral:rRNA from 1 species
UACGAAGGGGGCUAGCGUUGCUCAGAAUCACUGGGCGUAAAGCGCACGUAGGCGGAUUGUUAAGUCGGGGGUGAAAUCCUGGAGCUCAACUCCAGAACUGCCUUUGAUACUGGCGAUCUUGAGUCCGGGAGAGGUGAGUGGAACUGCGAGUGUAGAGGUGAAAUUCGUAGAUAUUCGCAAGAACACCAGUGGCGAAGGCGGCUCACUGGCCCGGUACUGACGUUGAGGUGCGAAAGCGUGGGGAGCAAACAGG